rnacentral:rRNA from 1 species
UUUUAUGGAGAGUUUGAUCCUGGCUCAGGAUGAACGCUGGCGGCGUGCCUAAUACAUGCAAGUCGAGCGAACGGACGAGAAGCUUGCUUCUCUGAUGUUAGCGGCGGACGGGUGAGUAACACGUGGAUAACCUACCUAUAAGACUGGGAUAACUUCGGGAAACCGGAGCUAAUACCGGAUAAUAUUUUGAACCGCAUGGUUCAAAAGUGAAAGACGGUCUUGCUGUCACUUAUAGAUGGAUCCGCGCUGCAUUAGCUAGUUGGUAAGGUAACGGCUUACCAAGGCAACGAUGCAUAGCCGACCUGAGAGGGUGAUCGGCCACACUGGAACUGAGACACGGUCCAGACUCCUACGGGAGGCAGCAGUAGGGAAUCUUCCGCAAUGGGCGAAAGCCUGACGGAGCAACGCCGCGUGAGUGAUGAAGGUCUUCGGAUCGUAAAACUCUGUUAUUAGGGAAGAACAUAUGUGUAAGUAACUGUGCACAUCUUGACGGUACCUAAUCAGAAAGCCACGGCUAACUACGUGCCAGCAGCCGCGGUAAUACGUAGGUGGCAAGCGUUAUCCGGAAUUAUUGGGCGUAAAGCGCGCGUAGGCGGUUUUUUAAGUCUGAUGUGAAAGCCCACGGCUCAACCGUGGAGGGUCAUUGGAAACUGGAAAACUUGAGUGCAGAAGAGGAAAGUGGAAUUCCAUGUGUAGCGGUGAAAUGCGCAGAGAUAUGGAGGAACACCAGUGGCGAAGGCGACUUUCUGGUCUGUAACUGACGCUGAUGUGCGAAAGCGUGGGGAUCAAACAGGAUUAGAUACCCUGGUAGUCCACGCCGUAAACGAUGAGUGCUAAGUGUUAGGGGGUUUCCGCCCCUUAGUGCUGCAGCUAACGCAUUAAGCACUCCGCCUGGGGAGUACGACCGCAAGGUUGAAACUCAAAGGAAUUGACGGGGACCCGCACAAGCGGUGGAGCAUGUGGUUUAAUUCGAAGCAACGCGAAGAACCUUACCAAAUCUUGACAUCCUUUGACAACUCUAGAGAUAGAGCCUUCCCCUUCGGGGGACAAAGUGACAGGUGGUGCAUGGUUGUCGUCAGCUCGUGUCGUGAGAUGUUGGGUUAAGUCCCGCAACGAGCGCAACCCUUAAGCUUAGUUGCCAUCAUUAAGUUGGGCACUCUAAGUUGACUGCCGGUGACAAACCGGAGGAAGGUGGGGAUGACGUCAAAUCAUCAUGCCCCUUAUGAUUUGGGCUACACACGUGCUACAAUGGACAAUACAAAGGGUAGCGAAACCGCGAGGUCAAGCAAAUCCCAUAAAGUUGUUCUCAGUUCGGAUUGUAGUCUGCAACUCGACUACAUGAAGCUGGAAUCGCUAGUAAUCGUAGAUCAGCAUGCUACGGUGAAUACGUUCCCGGGUCUUGUACACACCGCCCGUCACACCACGAGAGUUUGUAACACCCGAAGCCGGUGGAGUAACCUUUUAGGAGCUAGCCGUCGAAGGUGGGACAAAUGAUUGGGGUGAAGUCGUAACAAGGUAGCCGUAUCGGAAGGUGCGGCUGGAUCACCUCCUUUCU